rnacentral:rRNA from 1 species
UACGUAGGUGGCAAGCGUUGUCCGGAUUUACUGGGCGUAAAGAGCGCGCAGGCGGUUGGAUAAGUCGAAUGUGAAAGCCCCCGGCUUAACUGGGGAGGGUCAUUCGAUACUGUUUGACUUGAAGGCAGGAGAGGGCAGCAGAAUUCCCGGUGUAGUGGUGAAAUGCGUAGAUAUCGCUUGGAACGCCGAAGGUGAAAACAGGCUGCUGGGGUUGCGCCGACGCUGAGACACGAAAGCCAGGGGAGCAAACGGG